rnacentral:rRNA from 1 species
AACACAUGCAAGUCGAACGAUGAUCCCUGGCUUGCUGGGGGGAUUAGUGGCAGAACGGGUGAGUAACACGUGAGUAACCUGCCCUUGACUCUGGGAUAAGCCUGGGAAACUGGGUCUAAUACCGGAUACGACCAUCUGGCGCAUGUCAUGGUGGUGGAAAACCUUUUGUGGUUUUGGAUGGACUCGCGGCCUAUCAGCUUGUUGGUGGGGUAAUGGCCUACCAAGGCGACGACGGGUAGCCGGCCUGAGAGGGUGACCGGCCACACUGGGACUGAGACACGGCCCAGACUCCUACGGGAGGCAGCAGUGGGGAAUAUUGCACAAUGGGCGCAAGCCUGAUGCAGCGACGCCGCGUGAGGGAUGACGGCCUUCGGGUUGUAAACCUCUUUCAGUAGGGAAGAAGCGAAAGUGACGGUACCUGCAGAAGAAGCGCCGGCUAACUACGUGCCAGCAGCCGCGGUGAUACGUANGGCGCAAGCGUUAUCCGGAAUUAUUGGGCGUAAA